CCUACGGGGCGCAGCAGUGGGGAAUAUUGGACAAUGGGGGAAACCCUGAUCCAGCGACGCCGCGUGAGUGAAGAAGUAUUUCGGUAUGUAAAGCUCUGUCAGCAGGGAAGAAAGCAAUGACGGUACCUGACCAAGAAGCCCCGGCUAACUACGUGCCAGCAGCCGCGGUAAUACGUAGGGGGCAAGCGUUAUCCGGAAUUACUGGGUGUAAAGGGAGCGUAGACGGCAGCGCAAGUCUGGAGUGAAAUCCCAUGGCUUAACCAUGGAACUGCUUUGGAAACUGUGCAGCUAGAGUGCCGGAGAGG
rnacentral:rRNA from 1 species